CGGGUCCAAUUCCCUUGGAACAGGGAGUCAUGGAGGGUGAGAACCCCGUCUGUGACUCGGGUCCCAUCGUCCUAGCGUCGCGGUCUCCAAGAGUCGGGUUGUUUGGGAAUGCAGCUCAAAAUGGGUGGUAAAUCUCAUCUAAAGCUAAAUAUUGGCGAGAGACCGAUAGCAAACAAGUAGAGUGAUCGAAAGAUGAAAAGCACUUUGAAAAGAGAGUGAAACAGUACGUGAAAUUGUUGAAAGGGAAGCGUUUGGCAUCAGCCCAUGGCCUCCGACGAUCAUCCGGGCCUCGUGUCCGGUGCACUUGUCGGGGGUCGGGCCAGCAUCGGCUUCGUGCGCCGGAGAAAGGUCCAGAGGAUGUGGCUCCCCUCGUGGGAGCGUUAUAACUCUGGACGUCAUACGACGUGACGGGGCCGAGGUCCACGGUGUUCUCGCCCAGGAUGCUGGCGUAAUGGU
rnacentral:rRNA from 1 species